CGGGCAGUGAUGAGCUCUUAACAUGUAAGAAGAAAUUCUGAUAUAAGAGUUUUUUUCUAUGAAAUAUACUUGUUACGCUUGGCUUCUGAGCUCU
rfam:Ricinus communis cultivar Hale ctg_1100012330010, whole genome shotgun sequence.